rnacentral:tRNA from 1 species
UCCCUGGUAGCUCAGCGGUAGAGCGGUCGGCUGUUAACCGAUUGGUCGUAGGUUCGAAUCCUAUCCGGGGAG